CUUUUCAGGGCAAGAAAGUAUAACCAUUCAAAUCCACAAUGGAAGGAUUGUCUCUCACUCUGCUAAAAGGAAACAAAAAGAUCUCGAAUGUGAAGAAUGUGGCAAGUUAUAUAGCACGACAAGUAAAUUUGCAUUCCAGAGGCACUUGCAGCAGCACAAGCUCAAAAAACAACAUUUUAGUGAAAGUCUCAACAGUCCUGUAGAAACAGGUAACACUCAGAACCUGGAAUACCAAAUGAAACUUCGAGUUCGGACUUUUAAAUGUGUAGAUUGUGGAAAGGCCUACACUGAUAACAACAUUCUAAAGUGGCACAUUCAGACUGUCCAUAGUGCAAAAGCUGAAACUGAUGAGGAAACAAUGAAAAGAUGAUAAUGGGCAAAUGUAACUAAACAUUGGUUAUUGUAUUUAUAAAAAUAGGAUUUUAUAAAUGACAUCGGUAUGUACAGUAUUUGUGUUGAUCAGUGGAUGAUUGCCAAGAGUUGUCAUAUUAGUAUUUUGUGUAAAUAUUUUAUCUGAAUAUACUAAUGUACAUCAGCAGCUUGUACUUCUUUCACAAAUCUGGAUCAUAAAAUGUCAAAAAGAAAGAAGAUAAUAUUUUUCCUUUUUGUUUUUAAGGAUUGACUUGUUUAAUGUUUUGCAAACUCAAAAAUUAAAAUUUUCUCUUUUGCAUUUUUAUGGCAGAGUUUUGCUGCAGUGGCAAAACAGAGGGGAAGUUGAUUGAUUAUUGAUGAAGCAGUAUUCAAUUUGGGAUACUCUUAAAAUGAAACAAUAUUGUCAAAAUUUAUUGAGAUUGGUGUUAAAAGAGGUUAAUCUUUGUCUGUAUAAUGAAACGUUGAAUUACAUAAAGUUGGUCGUUUUUAUUAGCACAAAUUCAUAUUUGCUUUUUCUGAAAAUAUUGAGUACAUCAUUGAAACUUAUUAAGAUCAGAUAAUGUUAGGUCUGAGAAUUUGCACAUUUUAUUAAGCCCCCAUUACUUUAAUAAUGUCUGUAUAAUGAAACGUUGAAUUACAUAAGGUUGGUCGUUUUUAUUAGCACAAAUUCAUAUUUCCAUUUUCUGAAAAUAUUGAGUACAUCACUUGAAACUUAUUAAGAUCAGAUAAUGUUAGGUCUGAGAAUUUGCACAUUUUAUUAAGCCCCCAUUACUUUAAUAAUGUCUGUAUAAUGAAACGUUGAAUUCCAUAAGGUUGGUCGUUUUUAUUAGCACAAAUUCAAAUUUGCAUUUUCUGAAAAUAUUGAGUACAUCACUUGAAACUUAUUAAGAUCAGAUAAUGUUAGGUCUGAGAAUUUGCACAUUUUAUUAAGCCCCCAUUACUUUAAUAAUUAAAGACUAAAUAGUAAUUUACUCUUCAGAAAUCUUACAAUACACAUUUAGUACCUGAACUAACUGAUUUGUAUAGUAUGUAGGUUUCAGUUUCUUAUGUUGGGUUAGAAUAUAAACCAUCUUUGUUCCCCUAGAAUACAGUUUGUUUUUAAGCUCAUGUACAUGUACUGAUCGUAUAAUCUACACUCUUUUGACUGGAAACAUUCAGAUAUAGUUUAUUAUGGUCAAUUGAGUCCUCACAGGGUUUUAUCCAGGGAUUUUGAAAAUAUUCUUGUAACAGUUAAUGAACUGUUUUUCCCAUAAACUGAAAAUUAUUGCCUAAAUUUGCAUAUUAACUCGAGAUAACCCAAAUUGGAAUAUACAACUUUGAUUUACAAAGCAUUUAUUUUAUUGGUUACUUUAUUUUUUGAAAAACAUUUUUUGUGAAUAUAGAAGAGUCAUUCUCAUCUGACUUAGAAGUUUUUGUAGGAUAAUAUUUCCAAUAUGAUUUUUUUAUAAUGUUCAUAAUUCUGGCAGGAGACCAUAAGAGUGAUAAUCCUACUCAGCCACAGAGGUACAAAAUCGGAUGUCUGUUGUAUUUGUUUAUAUAACUACAACUUAAUGGUGCUGUUUGCUUUAUCAUUUUCAAAUGUAGUCAUAAUUUCAAUUGGAUAUUAAUCUUAGCACAAAAUGUAUAUUUUAUUGUUUUGUAAUGGAAAGAUUACAACAGUGUUUUAAUUGUUAUGGUGAAAGGCACAACUAAAUUGACGAAUAUUCUUAUUUCAGCAGUAGAACUACUUUGGAUAAAACCCUGCAUAUAAAAAUGUACUCAGGGAGAUUUUUCUUUGAAAAAUAAGUAAAACGUUUUUUUACCAGUGUAUGUAGAUUAAACAUUACAUGUAACUGAACUGAGUUUUUAAUUAUUUGUUACAUAAUUAUGUUUGUGAUUAUUACAAAAACAUUUAAACCUGCAGAAGAACUUGCAAAUACUACUUGGCUUCAAAAACUAUGUACUUGAAUACAUCAAGUUCAACUUGGUGUUAUCCAGUGAAAGUUUUAGUGAGGCUAAAAAUUGUUUAUUUUUAAACAAAUGUUUUUGGGAGAUAACUUGUGAUUACAAUGUUAAACAGAUGUGUUUGGGAGAUAACUUGUGAUUACAAUGUUAAACAGAUGUGUUUGGGUGAUAACUUAUGAUUACAAUGUUAAACAGGUGUAUUUGGGAGAUAACUUGUGAUUACAAUGUUAAACAGAUGUGUUUGGGAGAUAACUUGUGAUUACAAUGUUAAACAGAUGUGUUUGGGAGAUAACUUGUGAUUACAAUGUUAAACAGAUGUAGUUAGGAGAUAACUUGUGAUUACAAUGUUUAACAGAUGUGUUCAGGAGAUAACUUGUUAUUACAAUGUUAAACAGAUGUAUUUGGUAGAUAACUUGUGAUUACAAUGUUAAACAGGUGUGUUUGGGAGAUAACUUGUGAUUACAAUGUUAAACAGAUGUGUUUGGGAGAUAACUUGUGAUUAUAAAUAUAGCUAAAAUUAUUCAUAUCAUUUAAUUUAGACAUUUUGAAAAUGUGGACUGUAUUUCUUUUAACCCUCCCCCUCUUUUCUUUAAUAAUGUUUCAGGCUGCAUGUUGAGAUUAUUCUGUUUUGUAGAAAUCAGCUAUGUUGUAUAAUUAAAAUGUUAAAUGUAAGAAGAUUGUGUAGGAAUUAUUAAUCUGUUUGUAUUUUGAAUAUUAAAAUGUAAGAUUUCGACAGUCAUGUGAUUUUCUAAGAUAAGAAUGAAUGAGUUAGUUAUGGCAGAAAAACACUCAGUAUACAAUAGCUGUUGUUCAAGAAAUGGAUGAUAUAAAUAGCAUCUCAGUCACUACUGUGUCUGUCAUAUCCCAGCCAGCAUGAUGAGCUCUUGUAUUGGAUGAAAGGCCCCAUUCUGCACUUAAUAAAGCACAUAUAGUAUGGUUGACUUAUUA